rnacentral:rRNA from 1 species
GAUGAACGCUGGCGGCGUGCCUAAUACAUGCAAGUCGAGCGGAUCUCUUCGGAGAUCAGCGGCGGACGGGUGAGUAACACGUGGGCAACCUGCCUGUAAGACUGGGAUAACUCCGGGAAACCGGAGCUAAUACCGGAUACUAUGUCAAACCGCAUGGUUUGACAUUCAAAGACGGUUUCGGCUGUCACUUACAGAUGGGCCCGCGGCGCAUUAGCUAGUUGGUGAGGUAACGGCUCACCAAGGCGACGAUGCGUAGCCGACCUGAGAGGGUGAUCGGCCACACUGGGACUGAGACACGGCCCAGACUCCUACGGGAGGCAGCAGUAGGGAAUCUUCCGCAAUGGACGAAAGUCUGACGGAGCAACGCCGCGUGAGUGAUGAAGGUUUUCGGAUCGUAAAACUCUGUUGUCAGGGAAGAACAAGUGCCGGAGUAACUGCCGGCGCCUUGACGGUACCUGACCAGAAAGCCACGGCUAACUACGUGCCAGCCGCCGCGGUAA